ensembl:lncRNA
UCCUCGGAGGCAUUGCCAGAGCUCAGGUCUAUGUCCUCGUGGCUCGUGGUCGCAUCACUGUGACUAAGGCUCUCGGCUGACAGGGGAGGCAUGUCCAGGUCAUUCUCCUCCUCCUCCUCCUCUUCCUCCACCUCCUCCAACACCUCCUUCUCCUCUCUGAGGGGAGACUCCACAGCGCUCUCAAAGGAGGCUGUGAGGUCUGGGAAGCUGGUAACGCUGGUUGUCUUGGUAACAUGGCCGUUCGUCUGGGCAGUGGGGGGCUGAGAGAGGGGCUGAGUGUUACCGUUAACCUCCUGGCAGCUCAAUGCCUCCUCCGCCUGCUCCUCCUCCUGCUCCUUUGUCCCAGAGAAAGAGGAGGAGGCACAAAGGGCUGGUUCUGUUUCAGCCCCUCUCAGCUCCCAGUUGAGUUCCUCUGUAGCAGUGGUAGCUCCCCUCUCCUCCUCCCCAUCCAGAGACCGUUUAGAAAGCAGGCCAUUCUCCCGGCCAGUGACGGGGGCUGCCUCUGGGGCAGAGAGAGGCUCCGGUGGGGGGGUUUGUUCAGUGGGACUGGGGGUAGUUAUAACCUCGUCAGACCUCUGUUUCCUCCACCCUCCUCCCCAACCCAGCUCUUCACUCAGCUCAGCGGUGGAGAUAAUCACCCCCUGCUGUAGUCUAAUAGCCUGCUGGAUGUCGGCUAGCAGGUCCUCUUGUUCUGCAGCUGAGUGAAAGCUAUAGAUGUCCGGGUCUGAACCAGAGCUGCUCCUCUUUCUCUGUUCAACCUCCCCCUGCUGGUCUGGAACAGUGUCCGCGGUCGCCCCCGUGGGCUGCAGGCUCUCCCCCGUGGGCUGCCGGCUCUCCCCCGUGGGCUGCCGGCUCUCCCCCGUGGGCUGCCGGCUCUCCCCUGUGAUACAACCAUGACUCCUAGCACCAUGCCCAUCACCAGGCUCUGCUGGUCCCUCGGUGUCAGAUUGGCCCAGCUCGUCAGCUGACAGAGAGAGAUCUGGUGUUUUGGUGUGAGCAGAGUGAGCGGAGUCCAGCUCGUUCUGAGACGACAACACAUCCUCCCUGGAUCCCCCUGUCGAUCCCUUCCCUUUAGAUUCUUCCUCUUCCUGAUAGAGAACACAGAGGAUUUAGACUCCUUCUUAUUCUUCUUCUCGUCUCCUCCUCCUUUGCCAUGUUUUCCGUGGGAUUUCUUGCCGUGGUGAAAUCCUUUGUUUGUGCCGUCAGCGUGACGGGGCUCCCCGGUGGCAUGUUCUGCUGCGUCCUGUCCGUGUCCGUCCCCCUCUUUCCCCUUCUUCUGCUUCCCCUCCUGGUUCCCCAUGAUGCUGAAUCUCAGCCUCCACUUCUGUCUGGCGCCGAGACUCAGGCCAUGUCUUUGAAAACAGCUGCCAUUUUCUCUGCUGCUCCUCCGUCUACGUCUGCGUAGCUGCUGCGAGGCUGUGAUGCUGCUUUCCCGUGACGACGAUGAGAGGAGCACUGCUGAUGAUGCGAAGACGACGUACGCCUGCUCUCGCUCUCCUCCUCCCUGCGCCAGUGCGAUAUCUCCCUUCUCUUCUCCCUCCCCUCCCUGCUCCCCUUCUCCCCCUCCUCCCUGCAGCCUCUUUCCAUGCGCCUGCUCUCUCUCUCCCGUCUCACUCUCCUCCUCUCCAUCUGCUGCUCUGCAUAAUGUGCUGAGCCUAGCAGGGCAGGAGGAAGAGAAACAGCCUUCAGAAACAACAGUAGAAGAGGUCUCCGCCGGCUGCCUCCUCGCCAGGGGUAGAGAAAACCAUGGCUGGACCUGAGCCCUAGGACCAUGCCUCAGGACUACCUGGCAUGAUGAAUCCUUGUUGUCCCCAGUCCACCUGGCCGUGCUGCUGCUCCAGUUUCAACUGUUCUGCCUGUGAUUAUUAUUAUUUGACCAUGCUGGUCAUUUAUGAACAUUUGAACAUCUUGACCAUGUUCUGUUAUAAUCUCCACCCGGCACAGCCAGAAGAGGACUGGCCACCCCUCAGCCUGGUUCCUGUAAGAAGGGCUAUAUAAAUAGAUUUGAUUGAUACUGAUAAAUGGGCCUCUGUACGCCUACCCAGAUAUUCCAUUAAAAAUCUGCCGUUUCCAGCUACAAUAGUCAUUUACAACAUUAACAAUGUCUACACUGUAUUUCUGAUCAAUUUGAAGUUAUUUUAAAAAGUGCUUUAAAAAACAAGUUUUUUUCAGUUUUUCAAACUUUUGAACAGUAGUGUAUUUAUUUAUUUAAAAAAAUAAAUUAAUCGACCAGCCACUCAGAUUUUUUUUAUGCCAACCAACAAAUUUUUGUUCGCUAUAAUUACACCAACAAAACACAAAAAGCUGAUUCACAUACAAUACAAUAAAACGUAUAAUUAGUAUGAAGUCGUGGUACACUGAUUGAUAUAGGACUCUGUCAGGCCUCUCUGGGAUGAUAAGCGUCAGGUAUAGUUCAAUUCAAUCUGUACUGAAGCCUGUUUGAUGGUUCGUUGGAGGGCAGGAUUUCUUAUUAGAAUCCCGCACCUUGAAAGCCC